CCCAGGGCCUUUUGAGUUUGGUAAUGGCGUCAUGUGUUGGCUGUGUAGAGAGGCCCCUUUGAAGCACUUACGGAUGCUUUGAGUAGUCCCUUUUGAAAGAGGCUAGUGCUGAUGGAGGAGGGGUUGGAAAUCCCUCUGGUAGCCAAAAGAUGGUCUCAGAACAAUUCGGAACACACUGUGGGGUGUUGGUAAUACCAGGUCUCCUGAGGCGUCCGGUCUCUGUGGAAAAUGAGUGUAGUGAACUCGGCGGCAGACCCACCCACCUCCUCUCAGUGACACAGCUUGAGAGUAUGUGAGGCUCUCUCCAAACUGGCUGCACUAUAGCCUUGCCUGAGGGAACUGAACAACCUCAGAGGAAUGGAAACCCCUAUUGCUAGACAGGUAUUAGAAUGCACUGCUGUUUGCUCUCUGGAGGACGCACCAGCUUCCUGGGGCUCCCCCACCCCCAGUCCUCCUCCCCCACAAGGCUCCCUGGGCCCUGCAAGUGAGGUGCUGGCUGGCUGGGGAAGCUUUCAAAAGAGACGGGAAACAGCUUAGGCUGUUUGCUUUUGAAGUCAGAGACGGCUGUAUCUUUGUGCAAGCGCAGCUGGGACUAGUCGAUCACGGUUUAUUUUUAAGACAAGAAAAGAAG